CCAGCGCAGCCGGUAGAGCCGCGGGCGCCUGGCCACCUAAGCCUGCGCGGGGCCGCCUGGUUCGCACGCAGCUCCGCAGGCGGCCGACAGGUCCCCACCGCCGCCCCCGCAGGCCGAGGGCCGGCAGGCGCCGAUCGGGGGCGGGCAGCCCGCGAGACUCACGGACCAUGGCAACCUGUGCAGGGCUUGUCCUGACAGAAGACUUCAGCCCCUGUGAUGCCUGAGAAUCACGUGGGACGCGUCCCAGGCUGAUCCUCUCUGUCCUCUCCACGCCUCCGCUCCACGAGCCUGCUCAACCAUGGGAGAGAACGAGGAUGAGAAGCAGGCCCAGGCGGGGCAGGUUUUUGAGAACUUUGUCCAGGCUGCCACAUGCAAAGGCACCCUUCAGGCCUUCAACACACUCACCCGCCUCCUGGACCUAGACCCUCUGGACCACAGGAACUUUUACUCCAAGCUCAAGUCCAAGGUGACCACCUGGAAAGCCAAAGCCCUGUGGUACAAACUGGACAAGCGUGGUUCCCACAAAGAGUACAAACGAGGGAAAGCGUGCAUGAACACCAAGUGUCUCAUUGUGGGCGGAGGACCCUGCGGCCUGCGCACUGCCAUCGAACUUGCCUACCUGGGAGCCAAAGUGGUUGUGGUAGAGAAGAGGGACACCUUCUCCCGGAACAACGUGCUGCACCUCUGGCCUUACACCAUCCACGACCUGCGGGGCCUGGGAGCCAAGAAGUUCUACGGGAAGUUCUGUGCCGGCUCCAUCGACCACAUCAGUAUUCGACAGCUGCAGCUCAUCCUGUUCAAGGUGGCCCUGAUGUUGGGGGUUGAAAUCCACGUGAAUGUGGAGUUUGUGAAGGUUCUCGAGCCCCCUGAAGAUCAAGAAAAUCAAAAAAUUGGCUGGAGAGCAGACUUCCUCCCUGCAGACCACCCGCUGUCGGAGUUUGAGUUUGAUGUCAUCAUCGGUGCUGAUGGCCGCAGGAACACCCUGGAAGGGUUCAGGAGGAAGGAGUUCCGAGGGAAGCUGGCCAUCGCCAUCACUGCCAACUUCAUCAACAGGAACAGCACGGCCGAGGCCAAGGUGGAGGAGAUCAGCGGGGUGGCCUUCAUCUUCAACCAGAAAUUUUUUCAGGACCUCAAAGAAGAAACAGGGAUCGAUCUAGAGAACAUUGUUUACUACAAGGACUGCACCCACUAUUUUGUCAUGACUGCCAAGAAGCAGAGCCUGCUCGACAAAGGUGUCAUUAUCAAUGACUGCAUCGACACAGAGCUGCUGCUAUGUGCGGAGAACGUGAACCAGGACAACCUGCUCUCCUAUGCCCGGGAAGCUGCGGACUUUGCCACCAACUACCAGCUGCCAUCCUUAGACUUUGCCAUCAACCACUACGGGCAGCCCGACGUGGCCAUGUUCGACUUCACCUCCAUGUACGCCUCAGAGAACGCCGCCCUGGUGCGCGAACGCCAGGGACACCCGCUGCUCGUGGCCCUCGUGGGUGACAGCCUGCUUGAGCCGUUUUGGCCCAUGGGUACAGGCUGUGCCCGUGGCUUCCUGGCGGCCUUUGACACAGCGUGGAUGGUGAAGAGCUGGGACCAGGGGACUCCUCCCCUGGAAGUGCUGGCUGAAAGGGAAAGUCUUUAUCGGCUAUUACCUCAGACAACUCCAGAGAACAUCAACAAGAACUUUGAGCAGUAUACACUGGACCCAGGGACGCGGUACCCAAACCUCAACUCACACUGUGUCCGGCCCCAUCAGGUAAAGCACCUAUAUGUCACCAAGGAGCUGGACUACCACCCUCUUGAGAGAUUCAACUCACUGCGGAGAUCUGUCAACCUCUCCAGGAGGGAGUCCGAUAUCCAGCCCAGCAAGCUCUUAACCUGGUGCCAGCAGCAGACCGAGGGCUACCAGCACGUCAAUGUCACUGACCUGACCACCUCCUGGCGCAGCGGCCUGGCCCUCUGUGCUAUCAUCCACCGCUUCCGGCCAGAGCUGAUCAACUUCGACUCUCUGAACGAAGAUGAUGCUGUAAAGAAUAACCAGCUGGCAUUUGAUGUGGCCGAACGUGAGUUUGGGAUUCCUCCAGUGACCACCGGCAAAGAGAUGGCAUCAGUCCAGGAGCCUGACAAGCUCAGCAUGGUCAUGUACCUGUCCAAGUUCUAUGAGCUCUUCCGGGGCACCCCGCUGAGGCCUGUGGAUUCUUGGCGCAAAAGCUAUGGAGAAAAUGCCGACCUCAGCUUUGCCAAAUCCUCCAUUUCUAAUAACUAUCUCAACCUCACACUUCCCAGGAAAAGGACCCCUCGGGGAGAUGCCCAAACCGAAGAGAAUGACAUGAACAAGCGGAGGCGGAAAGGCAUCCUCAACCUGGAUGAGGACUGUGUGCGCAGGCCAUCAAGCUUCUCCAGCCGGAGCUUGGGCUCCACUCAAGAGGGUGGCACCAGCAAGGAAGCAGGAAAUCAGAACAAAGUCAAGUCCAUGGCAAAUCAGCUGCUGGCCAAGUUUGAGGAGAGCACGCGGAACCCCACAGUCCUGAGGCAGGAGCGCCGUGUCUCAGGGAUAGGUAAGCCCGUCCCGUGCUCUUCCUCUGACUCUCCUGUAGACUCUCGCUGCCCCACGCCAGAGGAGACCACUCCCAGCCCACCACCUCCUCAGAAAAGGCAGCUCUCCUCUGUGCUUGUCACGGGGCAGGUGCUCAGAGAGCUCAAGCAAGUGUCCACUGGUGGCGAGUGUCCGAGCCGGCCCUGGAGAGCCAGGGCCAAAUCCGACCUGCAGCUGGGCGGCCCAGAAAACCUUGCCACCCUGCCUCCUGCCUGCCAGGGAGCGCUGGCCCUCUCAGGGGUGCUGCGGCGGCUGCAGCAGGUGGAGGAAAAGAUUCUCCAGAAGAGGGCUCAGAACUUGGCCAACAGGGAAUUUCACCAAAAGAACAUUAAAGAGAAGGCAGCUCACCUCGCCUCCAUGUUUGGACACGGGGAUUUCCCACAGAAUAAACUACUGUCUAAAGGCCCGUCUCACACUCAUCCUCCGUCUCCUCCUCCUUGCCUUCCAUCUCCCGAUCCAGCUGCUACUUCCUCUCCCUCCACCACUGAGUCUGCUUCUCCUGCCAGAAAGCUGACAGUAGGAAAAGUGUCCAGUGGAAUAGGGGCUGCAGCUGAAGUCCUGGUCAAUCUGUACUUGAAUGAUCACAGACCUAAGGCCCAGGCCACCUCUCCAGACCUGGAAUCUAUACGGAAGGCAUUUCCCCCGAACCUGGGUGGCUGUGAUACCUGUUACUUCUGUAAGAAGCGUGUGUAUGUGAUGGAGCGGCUUAGCGCCGAGGGUCACUUCUUCCACCGAGAGUGCUUCUGCUGCAGCAUCUGUGCCACCACCUUGCGCCUGGCUACCUACGCUUUUGACUGCGAAGAAGGGAAGUUUUACUGCAAGCCUCAUUUCAUUCACUGUAAAGCCAACAGCAAACAACGGAAGAGAUGGACAGAGUUGAAGCAAGAGCAAGAGGAGGAGGGGACAUGGCAGGAGCAGGAAGGCCCUCGACGAGACACUGCCACCGAGAGCUCUUGUGCAGUGGCCGCCGUCAGCACACCGGAAGGCAGCCCCCCAGGUAUCUCCACCUCCUUGCUUAGGAAGGCACUGAGCUGGCCUCUCGGGCUGUCAAGGGGCCUGCUGGCCAUUCCCCGGAGCCUGCUUAACUGGAUGCAGGGACUCCUGCACACCGCCAGCCUCCAUUUCAGGGACAAUGCUUACAACUACCACUACACGUACGAGCUCCUGAGCCUCGGGCUGCCGCUCCUCUGGGCCUUCUUGGAGGUCCUGGCAGCCAUGUACAGGGAGUCCGAGGACUCCCUCGAGAGCAUCCGAGAUGAGUUGCUGAGGUGGCUCCCUGUCAAACUCCAAUGAAGCACCUGGGUACCCCAAAGCGCCUUACCAUUUCCAGAGUUCAGACGACCGUGUGUAACCUGCUAAGGCUUUGACCGGAAAGUCUAGCAUCUAUAGCCAAUUAGCUCCAAGCCAAAGAAUUUCACAUUGGUCACUUCCACCUGGCCUUGACAGGGUGAACACUGCUCGUGGUGCUAGGGCCAGGGAUGAUGUGAAGGAUUUUUUUUACUAUAGCUUUAUACUGUUUUUUUUAUACCAAAGCGAGCCAUUUGCUGCGUUUACAUUUCAAUUUUUAACUUUCAGUAAGCCAAGAGAAAGCAUUUUUUCUCUGUCAAUUUUUCUACACAUGGGCUUGAUAUUUAUAAUCAGUUUUAUAGACCUCUGCAGUAUUGCAGUGAGUUGUGUCACUACCUACAAAAUUAGUGACCUAGGAUUCCAGAUGCACAAAAAUGAAAAGCGAUCUCUUGACCAGUGCCUUUAAAUUUAUGGAACUGUUGCCACUGGUCAACAGUGCAUGUGAUUUAUAUUUUUUUGUAAUAUGAAAGCAUGUUGAUUUUAGAAGAAAAGAAAAUAGGGAUAGAAUGGAAUCAAAUCUGCAAAAGCACAGAGGAGUAUAUUGACUAUCUGCCCUCCCAGAGAGAGGAGGACUUUUUCUCCCUUGCUUUAAUGUAAAAUAGAAGUUUAAAGGCCUUUUCCCACCUCAAAUCAUAGCCAGAUGACACAGAGCCACAGUUUCAGCUAGAUUUGCAAACGUUCAUUUUUUCCUCUCCACUGCUGGUAGCGUGUGCCCAGGGUGAGCUGUAUCCAGUUGAGGACAGGCUCCUUCAGCUGGUGGCAUCUUAGGCUCUGGGGUCCCUAUCAGCUUCCCUGCCCAGGCUGUAGGCUGAGCCAAGGACACUUGGGGACCAUAAUAGUCAGGCUGAGUGUAGUGGCAGAAGAUGUCCCUUCCCUUGGUGCCCUGGGUAUUUGUUAACACUGGGGAAUAUGGUCUUCUUGGUGACCCCUGCUUGUGACUGCCAUGACAUGUGGCCCUGUAUGUUUGGUCAGAUCUGUAAGAAACCAUUUCUACCCCACUGUAGCAAGCAGGUGUCUGACCUCUGGAGGGCGCUCUGCUGAAUCCUGAAGCCAGGCUAGGCUGGGCAUAGAAGCUAUUUAGUGACCCAUUGAAGAAAACAAGCCCUAUCAAGGGCAAAACCUGAGCAUUGGGCCUGCAUGCAUUCUACUCUGUGGGUGCCUAAAAGAGACAUCAUCUGUCUCCACUCUGCCUGGACAUGCUCAGCUGCAGGGCCUCCUUGGGCAAUCAAGGGACUGAUAAAGAAAGCCCUUGUAUGGUCCUCAGUGUUACCAGCGUUGCUGGCCCCGGUAGAGCUCCGUGCAGCUCUUAUCUCUAGAGCUUCCCUUCGGUUAACAAAGGAGGGCGCCUGGUGUGGAUUAGGAGCCCAAGCUCUUUGCAAGUUUGAGAUAGCAGAUUUCUGUAGGGUGGGGAGAAAGAAGCGAGUGCAUUUCUGCAAAUGUUUCCCUGAAAUCCUUGGGGAAAGCACAGGCAUGUGUGUGAACUGGCACUGCUGUCGGUCUUACAUUUGAUUAUAGGAAGUAAAUUUGUGGGGUCACUCCGGGGGCAGCCACGUUACUGUGACUGCCACCAGCUCAGGGUGGGCUGAGACACUCUGUGGAAUGCUUUGUGAUGCCAAAGUGGAUUUGCUAAGAAUGUCAUCUGCAGCCAUAUGGACACUGGUUUGAAUUACUCUGGGAGACAGGGUGUGUCUGUCGCAAGUGUGAGAUGUUUAUAUGCUCUGAGACCUUGAACUUUCCUUUGGGCAGCAGUAACAUGGGGUCAGGUCCUGGGGUGACAAACUCCUCCACCUCAUAGUCAAGGAUGAGUAGGAGACCUGACAGCAAAAUGGGGCAGAAAGAAGAUGGGGGAGGCAUCCCGGGGCUUUAGUGGCCUCGAGUGGAGCCCUGACAACACACAGACACAUGCAACGACUCUUGUAAGUAACAGCUCACCACCAGGAAGGUUCAUCUCUCCUAAGUAAGCAGUGACUUGUUGGGGGGAAGUCUCUCCUGUUUUAAAUGGUUGCCUUCUUUUCAACUGUGGCACUUUCUCUUCUUUUCGUUCAUUUUCCUUUUUCUCCCACGCUAAGAUCUCUUUCCUGUCUUUCUCUCUUUUCCACCUUACACUGUGGCCAUCAGUUCAUUUCAGCCUUCCAGUACUACACCCACUUCUUGGCUGACACACUUCCGCUCCAAGAAUCUCCCCCACUUUCUAGAAUGUCAACCAAAGAGAGCCCUCCUCCCUCUCAGCCUCUCUCUAGCUAGCCUCCCCUUCUCCUCGCAAGGCAUGUCUGUGACUUUGGUAAUCAUUUACAGUGCCACAUGGAACCCUGUAUUUUGCACACAGCAAAUGAUGUGUAGCUUUAUUUAUGGUAUUUGAUGCUGUAAAUGAAAAUAAAUAUGGUUCUUUUUAAAGCUCA